UACAGAGGUCUCAAGCGUUGUUCGGAUUCAUUGGGCGUAAAGGGUGCGUAGGCGGCGCGGUAAGUCGGGUGUGAAAUCUCGGAGCUUAACUUCGAAACUGCAUUCGAUACUGCCGUGCUUGAGGACUGGAGAGGAGACUGGAAUUUACGGUGUAGCGGUGAAAUGCGUAGAUAUAGGGAAGAACACCAAUAAAGGCGAAGGCAGUUAACUAUUCUAUUCCUGACAUUGAGGCAUGAAAGCGUGGGGAGCAAAACGG
rnacentral:rRNA from 1 species